rnacentral:rRNA from 1 species
UACGUAGGGGGCAAGCGUUGUCCGGAAUCAUUGGGCGUAAAGAGCGUGUAGGCGGCCAGAUAAGUCCGCUGUGAAAUCUCGAGGCUCAACUUCGAGCUGUCGGUGGAAACUGUCUGGCUAGAGUCCGGAAGAGGAGACUGGAAUUCCUGGUGUAGCGGUGAAAUGCGCAGAUAUCAGGAGGAACACCGAUGGCGAAGGCAGGUCUCUGGGCAUUAACUGACGCUGAGGAGCGAAAGCAUGGGGAGCGAACAGG